AUUCUGGGUCUUAGCUAAAAUUAUUGCCCCUCACAGGCGGAUGCGGUUCCCUGUCUCACUCACAGGAAGCGCCCAUGUGGGAGACACUGCAAGGGCAGCUCUGAGUGACUGAACCCUGAAACAGCCACACCGUGCAUCAGGCAACAAGAAUCAGACCAGACAGUUCAGACUACACAAGAAAACAUCCCCAAGAAGGACUUUGGAUAUGCAGACAUCGCCUUGACAUGUCUAGCACGCUGUACCACACUGCUGGGCGACUACAAGACAGGAGACGCGUAAGAGGGAAGGAAGCUGCAGGAAGAUAGGAGCAAGCAGUCAAGAUAUCUGCCUUCACUCAGCUCUGCGUGCUCCUAGAAGGAGGUUGGGCGAGGAGAACUUUUCCUGACAGAGGCCAGAUGCUGUCCUUUCUUCUCCUUAAACACACAAGACAUGCUGCAUGUUGACUUCUGCUUCUCCUAUUCCAGCUGUUGGCUUUUUUGUUCCCUGUGAAUAACCACGUUGAGCUGAAAGCCCAGACAACCUAGGGCAGACCUACAUGGACCAGGCAGCUAAACUGAGGAGGGUAUGAGAGGACGAGUAGAAAGCUGGAGUAGCAGGACCUCAGGAAAAUAAACAAACUGUCAAUCUUAGAUGUCUCAAAAGGUUUCAGCAGGUACCCACCCGACAAAAAGAUCACUGAACAUAACUUCCCAGGCUCUGUUUGCAUAGUUGUCAACUCUUGCAGGUGUUUUACC
rnacentral:lncRNA from 1 species